rnacentral:tRNA from 1 species
UGGCAUAAUGGCGUAAUGGUAUCGCAGAUGAGUGCUAGUCAUUCCAUCUUGUCAAAGAGGUGUUCAGGUUCGAGUCCUGGUUAUGUCGU